CACCGGUGAGAUGGCAGCAUCAGGUGCUGAUGUGCUGCCAUUUCAUCCAAGGAGCAGCAGGUCGCCCUGAGGCCAUCGGGGACUGAUUCCAUCCAUGGGGAUGAGGCCAUGCAGUGUGAGAAAGUGCUGUUGUGUAAUGAUGAAGAAUGGAAGCUCCUGCUGGAAGCCGAGCAAGAUUGCACUUGCGCUGCUUAUCUGGCUGCUUGAUCCAUGAGAACGUGUCUCGGAGCAUCUGGAAACGUGUGGAUAGCUUCCAUCCCCUCCCAGAGACUUGCGGGUCCUGGCUGCGCGCAGGAGGAGGACGGGAGAUUUGGAGCCGUGGCCGCUCUGCAUGGCAACAUGCCUGUGAGGUUUGCUGUGCUUGGAUAGAGCAGAACUGUGCAAAAACAGAACAAGAUGGGAUUUUUCCAGGUUUAAUUUGAGCUUUAACUUGUUCCAAGUGUAACAUUGAGAUCUUACCGCUUCUUUUGUUUUCCAUGCUCCGCUGCGCUCUGUGGCAGCAGCAGUCACAAGUGUCAGACCAUCAACUAAGCCUGGUUUUGAGUUGAGUGUGAAGGAAACUACACUGACAACGAAAACACUUGCGGGGUAUUGCCAUGCCAAGGCUGUGUGCAGGUUUGGCACCCCUCCUCCCUUUGCACACCCCACAGUGAUGUUGGAGCUCAGUGGGUGAAGGUGGGAGCGGGGCCACUCGUGGCAGCCAUGGUGCAUGGGUCCGGUGGGAUUUGCGUCUCUAUUUCUCUGUUGCUGUUCUGAGUGGAGCUUGUGUGAGUAAACCUAUUGUGGUUUUAAGUUAAUGUGCAAUUGGACAAGGAAGAUUAUUUGAGUGUUUGCUCUGUAUGUUUCUCCUUUGUCUUUUGUCUUGCUUGACUGAUACACAGCAAUGCACUUUGGCAACCUCAGCCUACCCCUCUACUCUCAUUAGCACUCCAGCAUGUGUUUUUACUUUAUGGAGGGCCGCACGGUGUUGCGGACGGCAAUGGGAGAGGAGGUGGUGUGGGUAUGUGGCAACCACUUCUAGCACUGACAGCAUCCUGGCAUUUUUGAGAAGCCAGAGUUGUCACACGGUUUGUUCUGAAAGCCAUUUGCAAUCUUAACUGUAGUAACAGUCAUAAUCAUCGUCCCGCUAGUGCAGAGGAUGUGUGGGAGAAACAGGCCUCCUUGAAAAUUCCCUCCGAGGCCGUGCCAAGCCUGAAGCAAUCUUUUUUUCAUGACGGAAAGCCGUU
rnacentral:lncRNA from 1 species